CUCACUUUCACUUUCACUGCAUCCUUCCUCCAAUUUUUCCUCUCCCACUCACCUCUUUGAGACUCUCACGGUAUUGCUCAGGCGAAGAGUGUCACGGAAGUUGAGAAGAGAUUGCUAGGGUGGGUCGACGGUUUAGUGCUCUCGCUUGUUCUGUUUUCUUCUCUCUCGCUUGUUCAGUUCGUGCUCUCAGAAGAUUUGUCCCAGCAGAGGUACGCAUUCCUGCCAGAGGUACAAAAAGGUUUUCAAAUUUCAAGGCAGGAGUUGUUACUGAGGCAUUUACUUGAAUUUUAUUCUGAAGUAUAGAAAACCUCAAGGCAUUUCAUCAUCUAAGUUGUCGGCUGAACGCUGCAAGCUUUGAAGUAAUUUGAAUUGGAGACAUUUCGCCAGAUAUUCUCUUGUGCACAUUUAUAUCGACCGUUCGCUGAGAUUUUUUACUUCAGGUCUUUCAGAAUCAGGAGUAUGGAAGACGAUCAUGAUAGGAGUUGGAUGUACAAUUGUCUAACUGAUAGAAGACAACUAACUUGAACAUUCUUGGAGGGUUUGGAAACGUUCAUCCAAUAUGCUAGCCGACUGAAGCCUAGUAAGCUCUACCCAGGUUGACAGUGUUUCUGCAGAUGAGCUUAAAAGGAUGAAGGUGUCUCACUCCCAGAUUCAGGAGCAAUUGCAUGUUACGAAGGAGCAAUUACAUGCUACGACAGAGCAGCUAACUCAGCAAGCGGACUUUAUGAAGCAGCAAGCUGACAUUAUGAAACAAAUGCAGGAACAACUCCGACUUUUAAUGCAGGACAAGGAAGCCAACUGCAACAAGUCGAAGGGACCGGCGCCGGAUGAUGACCCUGAUGAUGAUGACGACUUUGCUAGGACUUUAGAGGCAUACUAGUUGUUUGUAUGUUUUACUUCUUUUAGGACUUCAGAUAUAUCAGAUAUUUUUUGUAUGUUUUAUUUUUUUUACAACUUUAAAGACAUUUUAGUUGUAGAUUUGAUAGUUGUUGUUGUUCACUUUUGUUGAUAUACUAUUUAAUUUUAAUUUAAUUGUUUA